CCGGCAGGAACAACAGAAAAGUGGUGAGUGGAACGCCUUGCUUGUUUUCACGAGUUUUUCUUUUUUUUUUUCUUUUUUUUUCUGUGCUUUGAUAACUUUUUUUUACUCUUUCUUUCUUUCUUUUACUAAGGGGGAUGUCUUUGUUAUUUUUCGAUUAUAUUUUUGUUAUGUUUUGUUUCUAUUUUAACCAUUUUUUUCUCUUCUUUUUUUGUUAUUUAUCUUUUCUUUAAUUUUCUGUUACCUCUCUUGUUACCUCCUUUAUUGAACUUCGUCACCUUAUUCAUGUCGCCUUUCACAAUUCACUUCCCUCUCUAUCACCUCAAAUUUACGUUCAUGUUUCCACUUUCUUAUCCUCGCAUUUUUUUUUUCUUAUUUCCUUGUACUUUCAUUCAGUGUUUGUUAUCCUUCAUAUUAUCCAUUUAUCCAGCUAUUUAUUUUAUUUUCUUAUUCAAUGAAACAAAAUACGUACGUUUAUGUGUACGUAUGUGCGUGUACGUGUUUGAUCACUGUUUCGUAAAAAUAUCACGAAAUUUAGUUUGUGUAUUAUUGUUACUUACUUUUGAUUACUUUUUGUUGAUAUUACUGUUUGCAGUGCGCAUGUCGCGUUUUGUUUGUUUCUUACUUCACCCCGGCGCCAGCAGCCAGCACCCAGCAGCCGCCACGCAGGUCAGUUGUCUGUAGUGGCUGCUUCCGCCAGGGUGUGUGGUGUGGCGGCCGUGUGACAUGGCCCAUGCUGGUUCCCUGCUGUUCCUUGGCCUACCUUCAUGAUGGACAUGCGCGAGGUGUUAGGGGCGUCCAAGUGGUUCCUAGCAGCUGAUCUCCAGACGGUGACCUUGUCCAGUGACCAGCAGUGCGUGACCUUCGUGGUGCACUUCAUGGGCCCCAGCGCAGGUCGUCUUGAGCUGGACUUAUCCCGCGUGCUGGCUGGCCGCAAUCUGGAGCCUGGAGGAGGAGACACUGCUGGAGGAGUAUAAGAGCGAGUCUUGGGGAUGGGAAGGGAGAGGAGAGUACAAGGUGUAAGGGUAGAUGGGAGCACUGGAAAGGGGAGGGGAGGGGAGGUGAGUAUGGCAGUUGGGGGGAGGAAGGGCAAGAAAAUGGAAGGGAAGGAGAAAAAGGAAAAAGAAAAUGAAAGGGAGGGAAAGUAGGAGGGUGGUGGCAGGGGAUAUGGGUGGUGUUUGGGUAUUUAGUUCAGAGGUUUAGGCUGUUUGCUCAGCGUUUGUUUCCUUUAGGCAUCUCAAAUGUUCCUUUGCAGAGCACAUCCCCAAUCCCUUUGCAGAGGUUUCCUUUUGGUAUCUCAAAUGUUCUUUUGCAGAACAUAUCCCCAAUCCCUUUGCAGAGGUUUCCUUUAGGCAUCUCAAAUGUUCCUUUGCAGAACAUAUCCCCAAUCCCUUUGCAUCCCCAAUCCCUUUGCAGAGGUUUCUUAUCAGGUUUUUUCUUUUGCGGCCAACGGCCAACACCCCGUGGGAUCUCAAGGGCGGUGUUGCCGGAGCUGGCCUCGCCUCCGCCCUGCUGCUGCCUCUGCUUCACCUCAUCGCCUGCGAUAAACCCAUCAACAUCAAGGCAUCUUGGUUUUCGCGUCCAUCCCCGCCCCCCUUAGUUCCUCUCACCCUGCAUAGGGGGCCUGUACAUUAUGUAGAUAGGAGGCUAUAAUUGUGUGAAAUUAUAGAUAUAUUAUGCAAUAAUUAUCUUUAUGCAUAUAUAUAAAAUGCAAUAAUGUUCGUUAUGCAUAUAUACAAAAUACAAUA